rnacentral:rRNA from 1 species
UUUACCAGGGUUUGACAUGCUAGUGGUAGGAAACCGAAAGGUGACCGACCCUUCGGGGAGCUAGUCACAGGUGCUGCAUGGCUGUCGUCAGCUCGUGUCGUGAGAUGUUCGGUUAAGUCCGCUAACGAGCGCAACCCUCGCUGUGUGUUACUAUGUGUCACAUGGGACUGCCGGCCUUAAGCCGGAGGAAGGUGGGAUGAUGUCAAGUCAGCAUGGCCUUUAUGUCCUGGGCUACACACACGCUACAAUGGUCAGCACAAUGGGUCGCUAAGCCGCAAGGUGGAGCCAAUCCUCAAAGUUGGCCUCAGUUCAGAUUGUAGGCUGCAACCCGCCUGCAUGAAGAUGGAGUUGCUAGUAACCGCAGGUCAGCUAUACUGCGGUGAAUACGUUCCCGGGGCUU